GAGGGUACAGCUCAGUGGUAGAGUUCAUGCUUAGCACACACAAGGUUCUGGGUUCAAUCCUCAGUACCUCCA
rnacentral:tRNA from 1 species